AAGCAGCCUCUGGUCAUCUAUCUGCCUUUGAGCCAUCAAGAUGCCGAUGUCUUCUCUUCCAGCAGCUAUUUUGUCUCACAUGACAGCUAUUAACAAUGUGCCUCCUCCUCCACUUCACAGUAUACCAAACUUGAAAAAGUCUAAGCACAUUAAUUAUGGCCAGUUGAAUGCAUUAUGCCACAUUAGAGGACAACACAGAGAGAGAGAAGAAGGCAUGCAACUUUGAUAUUGCUUGGAUUUCUGUCAAGAGGGAUCAUUUUCCCCUGUGCAUUGCUGCCUCCUCCUUGCACCCAGUGCCUUUCGACAUGGAGUAAAGAAUGAAGUCCACACACUCCCGAGACCUAUUGCCUGAUGUGAAUCCUGUCUCAGCCACUUACCCUCUGUGUGACUUUAGACUGCUUACUACAUUUCUCUGCCUUGGUUUUUUCAUUGGUAAAAUGGAGAUAACAGUACUCACUUUAAAGGGUUACUAGGAUGAUUAAAUGAGCCUAAUAUAUGUAAAUAGCGUCUGGCACAUAGUAAGGGUUCCAGAAGUGUUAGUUAUUUUUAUUAUUUUUGUUAUGCAAAAAAGCUCAUCCAAUAUUUUAAGUGUCUUGAAAAAUUUUAACAUCCAAGCUUUGAAUCUAUCUUAUAUGUUGGUCCCUUUUCUAAUGCAUGAGAUGCUAAUCAAGGCUUUGAAUGUCCUUUUUGCUUUCAUUUUCGUUUUGCUUUCUGGCCCAGACGCAUUUCAUUUUUCAAAAUACUUCUAGUUUUUUUUUCUCUUUGGGGGGUCAUAAUAAGAGAGCUUGAAUCAUCUAGAGCUAGUUCUCUCAAAGUAUCCCCUCUAAAUAAA
rnacentral:lncRNA from 10 species